CUGCGAGCCUCACGCAGAAUAAAAUAGUCUCAAUCCUGAAACUCUAUAUGACGCACCGCUGCAGUGCAGCUCCAGCCGCACCUGAGCCACGCUGCUCACUCAGGCUGUGUCUGCUCUAACCUGUUAACAUGGGCGCCGAAAUGAAAACCAAGAGGUUCCACAGCACACAUGAGCUGUUCGGGUAGGCGAUGUGGAUCAGUCGUUACAGAAACUAGUGGAACAGAGGUUAGACAGGAAGUGACGUCAUGAUUUUAUUACCAACACCACAAACAACCAAAGGUGAGGAGUAACCUGCCAACUGGAAUGAGCAAACAGACGAGAAAAAAUACAGAGAGAACCACUGUCAAGGUCCAGUGAGAGUGCUACAAGUAUUACAGAGCUCGCCUUCGGAGGGCUCUAUCUCCUGUGUCAAUCAAUAGCACUGCAGCUUUAAGCCCACCACUAGCAGCUCUGCCAUCCCAGUAUCCCACACCAUCCUCUUUUCCAUCUGUCUGGACGGAUCCCUGAGGCCCAACAGCUUCCACCCGGAGCCAGACAUGGUCCAACAUCAAUCAAUAUCUCUGCAGGGCUGCACUGGAUUUAAAAUGUGAAAUCUGAACUGAAGACACAAGCUGACUGUUAUAAAAGUCCCUCUGACGCUCCACCCCUCCUGCCACAGAGCCAAGAGACGGAGGGAAUAACUCCCGACUGCUUUCUGGGGACUUUUCUGUGAUGUUUAUGAUCCGCUUUACCAGCUAGAAGCCCAGUGCAAGGACAACAUAAAGCACCUUCACCGGAAUCAUCUUUAAUAUCUUUCCAUAAAUGUGACACGUAAAGGGAGAGAAAGAUUCCCUGAGACGUUAAGUUCGAGGAGUUCACAAACAAGAUAAAAACAGCUUGUAUCAAGUGCUGCUGCUGCCCACGCAUGUAACACUCACUUCCCUCUUUAGUUCCUACUAGCAGUAAAUCUAUCACGCUAAUCUGUACAUUUUCAAACGCUCAAACUGCAGCAAAGAUAUCAGAGCAGGUGGUGUUGUUCCAUUUACUAUAACCACAUAUCCAAGGCUGCGUUUACAACUAGCAUGUUUGCUGCAGUUUAUUUGAACUCUGCAGUGUUUCAUCAUUUAGUUCAGUUCAUCUUGCCAAGUAAGAAUAAAACUCUUCUUGCACAAGAAAACACCAGUCUGCAGAGAACUGCACUGAGUGAACUCAGUGAUUCCUGACCUGGGGACCGAGACCCCUGCAAGAAUACUAAGGCUGUAGUCAACCACAGAAAAUCUCGGUUGACUGAAAUCGUACCUAGUCUUCAACCAAUCGAUUGGUUGAUUUAUUGGUCAUAAGGUGCAUUACUUCCACCUACAAUGUUGUGUGAGUGUGAACCAGAGUUAUCUGCCCUCAUAAACAAACACAGCACUAUCUUCUUGUUAAACUUCCAAUCGACCAGAAGACUACAGCCCUGAAGGAUAUGAAAUAA